rnacentral:misc_RNA from 1 species
AUCUUUGCUAAUAUGUGAAUUUUGUAAUUGAAAAAAUGAUUAGCUUGUUGUUAACAUCUUUUUCGUUAGUAAAAGAAACAUAUUAAGAAAAUUUUUGGAGGUUUGUGAAAUAUGCAAACAGGUACAGUUAAAUGGUUUAACAGUGAAAAAGGCUUCGGUUUCAUCGAAGUAGAAGGCGGAGACGAUGUAUUCGUACACUUCAGCGCUAUCGAAGGUGAAGGAUUCAAAACUUUAGACGAAGGUCAAAGCGUUGAAUUUGAAAUCGUUGAAGGCCAACGUGGCCCACAAGCAGAAAAAGUUACUAAACUUUAAUCUGUUCACGUUAAACUAAUAAAAACACGCAGCGGACUUCUUAGGGAGAAGCCUUGCUGCGUGUUUUUUU